GAUGAACGCUGGCGGCGUGCUUAAUACAUGCAAGUCGAACGGAGGUCUAGAAAUAGAUCUUAGUGGCGAACGGGUGAGUAACGCGUUGGUGACCUGCCCCGAAGCGGGGGAUAACAGUUCGAAAGGGCUGCUAAUACCCCAUGAGGUCUCGGAGAUUAGAAGGCUGAGACGAAAGGAGCGAUCCACUUUGGGAGGGACCUGCGUCCCAUCAGCUAGUUGGUAGGGUAACGGCCUACCAAGGCGAAGACGGGUAGGGGGCCUGAGAGGGUGACCCCCCACACUGGCACUGAAACACGGGCCAGACACCUACGGGUGGCUG
rnacentral:rRNA from 1 species